UACCUUUAACUGAAAGAAACACGGGUGA
rnacentral:sRNA from 1 species